UACGGAGGGUGCGAGCGUUGUCCGGAAUCACUGGGCGUAAAGGGCGCGUAGGCGGUCUGCUAAGCGUGCGGUGAAAGCCUGGGGCUCAACCCCAGGUCUGCCGUGCGAACUGGUGGACUUGAGCACUGUAGAGGCAGGUGGAAUUCCGGGUGUAGCGGUGGAAUGCGUAGAGAUCCGGAAGAACACCGGUGGCGAAGGCGGCCUGGCUGGGCAGUAGCUGACGCUGAGGCGCGACAGCGUGGGGAGCAAACAGG
rnacentral:rRNA from 1 species